rnacentral:rRNA from 1 species
ACUCCAUAGUACUAAUGAAUCACCUGGUUUAUUAGUUAAAACUCCGGUGGUAAAAGAUGGGCAUGCGUGUCAUUAGCUAGUUGGUAAGGUAACGGCUUACCAAGGCGAAGAUGACUAGGGGUUCUGAGAGGAAGAUCCCCCACACUGGUACUGAGACACGGACCAGACUCCUACGGGAGGCAGCAGUGAGGAAUAUUGGUCAAUGGGUGAGAGCCUGAACCAGCCAUGCCGCGUGAAGGAAGACUGCCCUAUGGGUUGUAAACUUCUUUUCUGCAGGAAGAAAUCACUCUACGUGUAGGGUGUUGCCGGUACUGCAGGAAUAAGCAUCGGCUAACUCCGUGCCAGCAGCCGCGGUAAUACGGAGGAUGCAAGCGUUACCCGGAUUUAUUGGGUUUAAAGGGUGCGUAGGCGGGCUUGUAAGUCAGUGGUGAAAUGCUGUGGCUUAACCAUAGAAUUGCCAUUGAAACUGCAAGUCUUGAGUACAGUUGAGGUGGGCGGAAUGAGUAAUGUAGCGGUGAAAUGCAUAGAUAUUACUCAGAACUCCGAUUGCGUAGGCAGCUUGCUAAACUGUAACUGACGCUGAUGCACGAAAGCGUGGGGAGCGAACAGGAUUAGAUACCCUGGUAGUCCACGCUGUAAACGAUGAGCACUGGUUGUUGGCAAUACACCGUCAGCGACUGAGCGAAAGUAUUAAGUGCUCCACCUGGGGAGUACGUCGGCAACGAUGAAACUCAAAGGAAUUGACGGGGGCCCGCACAAGCGGAGGAACAUGUGGUUUAAUUCGAUGAUACGCGAGGAACCUUACCUGGGCUUAAAUGUAGAGUGCAUUGCUUGGAAACAGGCAUUUUCUUCGGAACUCUUUACAAGGUGCUGCAUGGUUGUCGUCAGCUCGUGCCGUGAGGUGUCGGGUUAAGUCCCAUAACGAGCGCAACCCCUAUUGUUAGUUACCCAGCACGUAAUG